rnacentral:rRNA from 1 species
UACGUAGGGUCCAAGCGUUAUCCGGAAUUCCUGGGCGUAAAGUGUGCGCAGGCGGCCGAGCAAGUCGAGUGUGAAAGCCCCGGGCUUAACUUGGGAAUUGCGCUCGAAACUACCUGGCUGGAGUGUGGCAGAGGAAGGUGGAAUUCCAGGUGUAGCGGUGAAAUGCGUAGAGAUCUGGAGGAACACCGAUGGCGAAGGCAGCCUUCUGGGCCAACACUGACGCUCAUGCACGAAAGCGUGGGGAGCAAACAGG